GGGUCUAUAGUUCAACGGUAGAACGAUGGUCUCCAAAACCAUUAAUCCAGGUUCAAGUCCUGGUGGACCCGCAA
rnacentral:tRNA from 1 species